AUGUAUCAAACCCUUAUCAGACGUUUGAGGAAAGCUACAGCUAGAGACAAACACAGAGGAAACCUGCAAUACCAAAGCGAAGCAGAUGGAGGGACACCAAUGCGUUGGGUGUUAGGUUCAGGCCACUACUUUUUACAUUUUAGGACAGAGCGGUUGUCUAACUCCCGAGACCUCCAUCCCUUGUCUUUGAUUAGCUGUGUGGAGCUGAAAGCCUUUCGCACAAGCCUGAUCGAGAACAACUGGCAGCCCUGUGGAGUCCCAUCGGACAAACACAACAAGUCUUCUGGCCAAAAUCAGGUAAACACCUGGUAGUUUAGUAGCAUCAGAGUAUUUCCAAGGCUUUGCUUAAUUCAAGCAGGAGCCGAGUCUCUGAAAAGUGCACUGAUGAGCACAUCCCCUCAUCGCCUCCGUGGUUUUAUGCUACAUUCACACAGCAGGCUGUCAGGCUCAAACUGCCCAUCAUAUCUGAGAUUUGUAUUCUAGGAUUCUCUACAUUAGCCAGCUUAAUAACACCAGCAGUCAGUGUUUUUUUUAUGGCUUUGCUAAUAGAAAGAAAAGGUCAGAUUUUGGAAAAUAUGCUUUCUUGCUGAGAAUUCCCGAAGAAAAGAAGAUACCACUCUCAUAUCUGUAUGCUGAUUAUGAAGCUACAGCCAGGAGGCGGUUAGCUUAGCUUAGCAUAAAGACUUGAAUCAGGGGAAAACAGCUAGCCUGGCUCUUUCUUUCUGUUGUUUCCAACUGUCCUGCAUGGUAAAGCUAACUCAGCCAUGCUAAAACUCCACAGAUCCAAGUUGUCCCGAGGGAAAUUUAACAUAUUAGAUCUGUGUCACAUAUGAAAUGGUGAAAAGAAUAUGGGCACUUUCAGCUGCUAUGUGAAUGUAGCCUUACCUAAAUGCGUGUUUGUUACAAUAAUUGUAACAUGCAUUUACACACUAAAGAGGCCUCAGAUUUACGGACUUUAAGAUUUGUAGGCUUAUAUUGAGAUUUGAGGUAAAAAUCAUCCAGCAUUUGAAAAGAGAAACGAGCUAAAGAGGAAUAUACUGUACACAUAUACACAAAAAAAAAACCUUCUACAUUAGUGUUAAAAUAAGAAUGGAUGCUUCAUCAUAAACACAAUCAUGCUGCAACAACAACAACAACAAAAAAAAAAAAAUAUAUAUAUAUAUUUAUAUAUAUGUGCGGAAGGGAGAGGUAGUAUGUUUGGUUAAACGCAGCGCCAAAGCUUAGCGGCACGUCAUCUUUUUGUAGAGACAACAAAGACAGAAAAUACAGAAUGAGGCAGAGAUGAGGAUCAAGUGAGUAAAGCAGGAAAAACAGAGUUGACAGUUAACAUUUAGAAACAUUGGGAUCCGCUCAUAUUGACUGGUCUACUGGCAAAGAGGAUUCUACUGGACAACCUUCUUCUUUAUACAACUGGCAACUAGUUUACUGUACGUCUAAAAACGUAAAAACACUGCAAAGGUUGCUGAGGAGAGAGUUGUGGCGUUGUCUGUGUGAGUGUGUGUCUGUGUGAGUUUAUGUCUGGUUCCCUUAAAGGCUAUUGUGAAAGGUCAUCCUGUAAAUCACUGAGGUAUCUGUUAAAUGUUUUCCAGCUGAGUGAGGUUUCUGUACGUAAGGCUACUGAGGUGGAGCUGCUGACCUGGGUUGAGGGGACGAACGGGUGAGAGGGGAGAGGCUGCUGCCUUGUUUGGGUUCGUUUGAGCGCCGACGACCUCUCGCAUCAUGCUCAUGCCAACGAACGGCGUGCAGAUCCUGAUCAAGGUCUGUCUUGCAUGAUGUUCUCUAUGUAUGACCCGAAAAGCAUCCAAUUAUCCACGUUUCGCUCUCGGAACCCUUAAAGCUGAGCAGACCCUCACCCCCAUCCCCCUCCCUGACCAUUAAGAAACGAAUGAUGUAGAUGUUGGUGUUAAAUGUAAAAAGUCCACUUUUUGUAUGUUUUCAUUUCACUAUUCUUAAACAAACAAUCUUUUAAAAAUCUGAAUAUCAAGAGCUGCGACGCGACACACACAGAGUAGUGAGAAAGGUAAUGUCACACUUUGGGUUUAGGAGGCGACAUCUCGUCAGUCACUGCACACUCUGGCUGUACAGCACAUCACUACAUAUCUCAUUUUAAAAAAUACUUUAUCUCCUAAGAUCUUCUAUACAGAUUCUACACAGUCUUCUGGAGGUCCAAUCCGAACGUUGUCUGCGUCAAACAGGACAAAGGAGCCAUUUCUGCAUUGUCUGUUUCACAGUUAAGUGACACGUCCCAAUUCCACAUUAGCUGUUCCACCAAAUCUCCCGACUCCCAUCAGCCCUUGGUGCACCAGUUUUUUGUUUUUUUUUUCCCGAAAGCAGAGCCUUGACUGGCUGCUGAGUUAAAGCUAUGAAGAGUAAUCCUGCUGUAACUGGCAGAAGAAGAGGCGGUUAGAUGGUUGGAUGAUGGGUGAUGAAUGAAGAGGCACGCCCAUGCUGUCGCUGCGACUCCUUGCCAUUGGCUAAAUCCUGUGUCAGUCAGUUGAGGCAGUGUUAGUUCAUGAUCACUUGAUUGUGUUUGACAUCGUACGUCUGGAAAAGUAGA
rnacentral:lncRNA from 1 species